UGGAGGAGGUAUCCUCGGCUGCUAGACAAUACCGCGCGGAAGCUAGGCGGAGGUGGUUCCCGGAGCGAUGGCGCAAGGAUGGAGCUGGAAAUGUUGGAUGCGAGGGCUGUAUGUGCUACUGAUCACAUUCGCUCCCUUCGUCAAAGGUUCCUUCUCGAUCUUCUCGAUCUUUGUCACAGUGCAAUGGUGUGCGUGAAUUUUUGGAUACAGGAGGAGAGACCGAUGUGAGCAACUGCCAGAGUUUGCAGUCGCGUGUCAAUCGCUUGAAGAGCAACUGACGAACAUCUACCCCAGCAGUACUCUAACUCUUGCGAUCUCAAGUUCACAGUACAUCAGUGCCGUAAGUCGCGAUCCCGAAGUUUGAGAAGAAAGAAGACGCCACACCAGCAAGAUGGCUCCCAGCUGCCUCAAGGAGCUCAAGGUCUCGCUCGCCUCAAAACAUCCGAAGCUACAGGCCACUGGCUCUUGUGGCCCGACUCUCUUACGGUUCUAGACUUCGAGGUGUGGGGCAGCCUUGAAUUGCGUGUGGUGGUUGCUCUCGUGCUUCCGCAAGCUCGAGAGCUUCCGGAUGGCUGGAGACUUCUACAGUUUUAAAAGCCUCUUUGCGAAGCUGCCAGUUUUGCAGCGCUACAAGUGUGUCGCGGCUUGCCCGAUGCUGGAGUAUCUCAGCGGGCUUUGUGGACACCUCGAAAGAUCUCACGCUCAAGAGUUGCCAGCCUCGAGAGUUUCCAGUUUUCUGGGCGACGAGGUUGCAGCGAGAACGAGAAAGUUUAGGAUGAUCACCGGGGAAAAGCUAUGGCGGAGGUGGAAGCGAUGGUGGAAUUCCUUAAAGUAGUCAUGGAAUUCUCAAGGACAGGCGUGAAACCUGACUGGAUAGAGGUGGAGUAUGGUCCUUAUGGCAUCCGUGGAUAUAAGGAUUCUAGGCCUAAACGGGUUAAAUCUCAAGAGGAGUUGGAAGAGAUUGACAGGAAGAACAAGGAGCUGUGGGAAGUGCACAGCCGUGGAAAUGUAUUUGGCACUAUUUGCUCAAAGUGGGUUCGCUAUGGGCGCUGUGGAUUUGAUGAUUCGGAUCCCUUGUGUAGCAUGGAGCAUCCUCCAGAGUAUCGAGGUAAAUCAGGCCUCAUCCUGGAUAAUGAAUUAGCGUUCGCUCGCCAGAGAGUCCAGAAUGGCCAGGUUGACGGGAGGAUCUUGCCUCCGAGUGGAUGUAAGUCAUUGAAUCAUGAAUGACGAUCAAAUCUCUUUCGACUCGCAAAAUUUGAUUUUUGCGCGCUGCCAUCAUCCAAGAGGCCGGGGUGGAGAACGGUUGGGCAAGCUUCUGCAUAUGGUACCCCGAUUUCUUUGCUCGGUGAGAUCAAAGGCCACGAACCGGCAUGCGAGCUUCGACCACGGCGCCAGCUCUUGACUUUGGACACACAGACUUGAAGUCGGUCACUUGGAGACGACAAGCGCGAUUACACCAAGACUGGCUGGUCCAUAGUCUAUCGUCGACUCCGGAGAUGGACUUCCACUGUCCUGGUUCUAAGGACUUGGCACUUCACGUCAACAUUCUCUCAAGUGCAAAGCAUGCCUGUACUGGUAAUGCUGGAGAAAUCCUCCGUAUCAGCUUGUUCGGCACCUUCGCUUCACUGCCGGUUCCAAAAGGGAUACUCAAGAACGUCGCCGGCGUUUCGUGGUGCUUCUUGUUUUAUUUCGCUGCGCCAUUAUCUCAUCAUUCUUCUAUCAUGUGAAACCUCUUCUCGGGGGUUCCAUCUAACGUGUUAACUGUGCAGCAAAUCCCCGUGUGGUGGAAGUGGUACUACACGAGCAACGCAAGAAACUCUAACUUAUAAGUGAACACACGACGUAAGUAGCGAGGAUCUGCGCUUUUGCUUCUGCGAACUUGCUAAGUAUAAUAUAGCUGCAGACUUUUAUGGAAGAUCUCUUUCUCCCUGGAUCACAAUGGAGAGUCCUGGUAGCGCAGCGUGCAAUCGUCGUUGAGCUUGACAUCCACAGCGAUGGCGUCGACACAGUCCAGCCACGCCUUGGCGAUGAUGUCGUCGAUGCAGCCUCUGCACGAGUCCUGGCUUGGGAGGACGUUGGUGGUGGCGUUGCGGAGGCACUGCGCCUGGCCGUAGGCGGGGACGUCGCCCUCGACUCCCUUGUUGGUGCUGUAAGUCAUGUUGGCGGCGGUGGGAGUGCUCUGGACGAGAUCCGCCAGCGUCGCAUUGAGGCUGUUCCAGUAAGUGCUCCCCUCUGGGAUGGACUCGUCGCUGCACAGCCCCGAGAGUAGCUUCACGCCCUGCGCUCCUGCUGCUACCAUCGCCACCACCAUCGUACAGAUGAUCAAAACAUCCUUCUUGACGCCCAUGAUCUUGCUGCUCGAUCGAAACGAAGUAUGCACAAGUUAGAGCAAAGAAAGAGAGCUUGCCUUUUCCUUGUGACGAGUUGCUUCCAUUUUAUCACAAAAACCACAAGUAGAAUGUGAAAGAUCACAAGUACCUUAUGAGAGA